GUCUAUAGCCAUACCACCCUGAGAGUGCCUGAUCUCAGAAACUAAGCAGGGUCAAGCCUGGUUAGGACUUCCAUGGGAGAAACUCCUUUUGCUAAAAAGCACUGACU
rnacentral:rRNA from 1 species